GCAGUCGAACGGACCUUGAUUCUUCGGGAUCUUGGUUAGUGGCGCACGGGUGCGUAACGCGUAUGCAACCUACCUUCCACUGGGGGAUAGCCCGUCGAAAGACGGAUUAAUACCGCAUAUGACCACAGGAGGGCAUCCGAUUGUGGUAAAAGCUGAGGCGGUGGAAGAUGGGCAUGCGUGCCAUUAGCUAGUUGGCGGGGUAAAGGCCCACCAAGGCGACGAUGGCUAGGGGUUCUGAGAGGAUGGUCCCCCACACUGGUACUGAGACACGGACCAGACUCCUACGGGAGGCAGCAGUAGGGAAUAUUGGGCAAUGGCCGAGAGGCUGACCCAGCCAUGCCGCGUGCAGGAAGAAGGCCUUCUGGGUUGUAAACUGCUUUUAUCGGGGAAGAAAACGCUCUUGCGAGAGUAACUGACGGUACCCGAUGAAUAAGCACCGGCUAACUCCGUGCCAGCAGCCGCGGUAAUACGGAGGGUGCAAGCGUUGUCCGGAUUUAUUGGGUUUAAAGGGUGCGUAGGCGGCCCGUUAAGUCAGCGGUGAAAUCCCAGGGCUCAACCCUGGAACUGCCGUUGAUACUGGCGGGCUUGAGUUCGGUCGAGGCGGGCGGAACUGGUGGUGUAGCGGUGAAAUGCAUAGAUACCA
rnacentral:rRNA from 1 species